AAGCAAGGAGAAGUAAAGUACCCGUACGGAUGGCGCAAUUUGAAUGGAUAAAAUAUAAACCAAAGAGGAACAUUGUGAUUUCAAACGGGUCAUUUGCAAGGUCACAUGACGUGUGCCUUUAUACAUGGUUGUUCAUUCAGAGUUGCAGGAUAUCGGAAAUAGUCGCCAUGGGGAAACACCUAGGGCUAGAAUAGGAGCAGUAUUGGGGAUAUAUAUAAUAACGCUAUUUAAAACAAGUGCUAGUCGUUUUAACGGUUGCGGCGCCUGUAGCCUCCUUUGGCUGCAAGGAACCAGACAACAAGAAAGCCGUAAAGAAAGAGCUCUACCAGGAAAUUUUCCAGGAGUAUAUGAGGGGAGAAAACUCCUUCAACAUCAUCUCGCAGUACCGGGAAAGCGUCCAAAAAGAGGUCCAAAGAACGAAAAAUAAUAAGCAAAUCAGCAAUCUAAAACCCGCAUCACAAUUUACCACGUUAAUCAGUGGCGAGACGAAGUGUCGGAAAAUCAACGCAGGGGCGGCGUGCCCUCAUCACAUCGUCAUGGACUACGACGAGGACCGGGAACCGCAGAUGUUGGCCAUGGCGCGUUGCUCAUGCGUAAGAUGUCGUGACCAUAUCAACGAGGCCACAAAAUGCAAACCUGUGAUGAACUAUAUACCCGUCAUACGACGGUCGUGCGAACGGCCACGAGGGGGCGUAAGACAGGGCGUAAAAGAAUACAGGUAUUUUAAGGAUCUACAGGCAGUGCCGGUAGGGUGCACAUGUGUGCAUCCACAGUCGCUGUAGUGCGGGAAAAGGGAAUAAGAGUGAAAUGUGUUAACGAUGAUUUAAGAUGUGUGCUAAAUCUAGUCUUCUAGGGGUAUAAUCACACACUCGAGAAAUUGAAAAGAAACAGCUAUGUUCCAUAAACGGCUGAAAGACACAAUCAAAUAACGUAGUGUUUGCACACGUGGGAUUUAUCCCCACGUGCACGUUUCCACGUGGUUCCAAUUACUGUGUUCAUACCCAUUUACUAUGAUACUCAGUGUUGUGGCCCCUUGACGAACCUUACUCAAUGCUAUUGUGAUAGUCAUUUGCAUUUUACGUGUACAACUUGUCUAUAACUUUAUAAAGUCUACGCAACACAAUAAUACACUUAGUAUCCUACUAAAGCAUGAAACAAUUUAAUUGUAUAGGUUGAUGCAAUCAACCGGGGGUCUCUUAUUAUUUCGAUUACCUUUUUUGGCAUUUUUUUUCUUCAAUCAUUGUCUGCUUUAGCUUAGGUAUUGCUGACGCACAGCCAUAACCGCUAUCUUUAGGUGGUUUCCAUUUUUUACCUCAAUAUAUUGAGGUUUAUUAUUAGUUCCGGGUCUAGCAUGUCAAUGUUCAGCGCUUUUCUUAUAUCAUAAUAGAUUUAUAUUGCUGGGCAUUGGCCUUACCUUGCUUCUACUUCCUGUUCGAGUUUUACUUCCUAUAUUUCAACUAGCGCUACGAGGGGGUCUGAACCUGUAAAAUAUUUAUUUAAACCGUGUUCGAUUUUUCACCCACUAGUCAGUUUUACAACGAUACCAUAGGGCUUUCAUAUGUUCCACAUUUAUGCAUUUAGAGGGCUGGUUGUGAAACUGAAGUAUGUGAUAUAGACAUAUUUAGCGGAUACACCAGUAUUAUUCUCAUAAUUUCAUUGACCUUUACAAUCAGUUUAACAAGGUCGCAUUUACACGUACUGUGAUUUGUUAUAUUUAUAGCCAAAGCGAAAUUGUCUCAUUCAUUUUUAAAUAUAAGUUUUCAUAAAGAUGACAUAUCAUCAUCACUAUGUAAAGGAUGGUUUGAAUUAUCAUGUAUGCAUAUAUUUUAACGUUUUUAAAACGUUGUUUUGUUUGUAACUACCUUAUUUGUCUGUUUAUAUUUGUUUGAUGUCUGCCUUGCAUAAAAUGCGCCUAUUCGACUUACCUGUAACCGAAUUAUUAUGUUUGUGUGCCGUACUUUAGAAAUCGUAAUUUAUUUGUUUGAAUGUUUUUGCUUGGAUAACAUAAUUAUAUUUAUUUUCAUCGAUGUUGUUUAUUUUACUUUUUUACGCGUGCUAAUUCUGUUAACUGAAGCAUUUGUAAUCAUUUUUAUACGUAUAUUACGUGUUGU